rnacentral:lncRNA from 1 species
GAAAGUGAACUGAAAUAAUUAGGUGAAGCAAGAAAUAAAAACAGACAGUGGAGUCAAGAAAAGUCCAAUAUAGCUAGCUAGAAAUGUUGAAAGCAGCUAACAUGCAUCCAUUUCAGCAUAAAACAUUACUAUAUAUACAAUGAGAGGGAUUGGAAGAAUGGAGAAACGGAUCCAAAGGGGUUUCCAUGCAUAUGAGGGUUGUCACAUGUCACAUGCAUAUAUGCCUGCUGAUGGAAGAGGAAGGAGAAAAAGAGCGCAUGGGAAAAAUUUAGAUAGACAAUGUUGAAAUUCAAUUUUAU